UACGGAGGGGGCGAGCGUUAUUCGGAAUUAUUGGGCGUAAAGGGCGCGUAGGCGGCCCUGCAAGUCAAAGGUGAAAUCCCUCGGCUCAACUGAGGAACUGCCUUUGAAACUGCGGGGCUUGAGGCCGGGAGGGGGUAGCGGAAUUCCCAGUGUAGCGGUGAAAUGCGUAGAUAUUGGGAGGAACACCGGUGGCGAAGGCGGCAUCCUGGACCGGUAUUGACGCUGAGGAGCGAAAGCCAGGGGAGCAAACGGG
rnacentral:rRNA from 1 species